rnacentral:tRNA from 1 species
GAGGGUGUAGCUCAAGUGGUAGAGCGCAUGCUUAGCCUGCACAGGGUCCUGGGUUCAAUCCCCAGUACCUCCU